rnacentral:rRNA from 1 species
GAGGACCUUUAGCUACAGGCUUAACACAUGCAAGUCGAGGGGCAGCAUGGUCUUAUCUUGCUAAGGCCGAUGGCGACCGGCGCACGGGUGAGUAACACGUAUCCAACCUGCCGUCUACUCUUGGACAGCCUUCUGAAAGGAAGAUUAAUACAAGAUGGCAUCAUGAGUCCGCAUGUUCACAUGAUUAAAGGUAUUCCGGUAGACGAUGGGGAUGCGUUCCAUUAGAUAGUAGGCGGGGUAACGGCCCACCUAGUCUUCGAUGGAUAGGGGUUCUGAGAGGACGGUCCCCCACAUUGGAACUGAGACACGGUCCAAACUCCUACGGGAGGCAGCAGUGAGGAAUAUUGGUCAAUGGGCGAGAGCCUGAACCAGCCAAGUAGCGUGAAGGAUGACUGCCCUAUGGGUUGUAAACUUCUUUUAUAAAGGAAUAAAGUCGGGUAUGCAUACCCGUUUGCAUGUACUUUAUGAAUAAGGAUCGGCUAACUCCGUGCCAGCAGCCGCGGUAAUACGGAGGAUCCGAGCGUUAUCCGGAUUUAUUGGGUUUAAAGGGAGCGUAGAUGGAUGUUUAAGUCAGUUGUGAAAGUUUGCGGCUCAACCGUAAAAUUGCAGUUGAUACUGGAUAUCUUGAGUGCAGUUGAGGCAGGCGGAAUUCGUGGUGUAGCGGUGAAAUGCUUAGAUAUCACGAAGAACUCCGAUUGCGAAGGCAGCCUGCUAAGCUGCAACUGACAUUGAGGCUCGAAAGUGUGGGUAUCAAAACAGGAUUAGAUACCCUGGUAGUCCACCCGGUAAACGAUGAAUACUCGCUGUUUGCGAUAUACAGCAAGCGGCCAAGCGAAAGCGUUAAGUAUUCCACCUGGGGAGUACGCCGGCAACGGUGAAACUCAAAAGAAUUGACGGGGGCCCGCACAAGCGGAGGAACAUGUGGUUUAAUUCGAUGAUACGCGAGGAACCUUACCCGGGCUUAAAUUGCAGAUGAAUUACGGUGAAAGCCGUAAGCCGCAAGGCAUCUGUGAAGGUGCUGCAUGGUUGUCGUCAGCUCGUGCCGUGAGGUGUCGGCUUAAGUGCCAUAACGAGCGCAACCCUUGUUGUCAGUUACUAACAGGUUCCGCUGAGGACUCUGACAAGACUGCCAUCGUAAGAUGUGAGGAAGGUGGGGAUGACGUCAAAUCAGCACGGCCCUUACGUCCGGGGCUACACACGUGUUACAAUGGGGGGUACAGAGGGCCGCUACCACGCGAGUGGAUGCCAAUCCCAAAAACCUCUCUCAGUUCGGACUGGAGUCUGCAACCCGACUCCACGAAGCUGGAUUCGCUAGUAAUCGCGCAUCAGCCACGGCGCGGUGAAUACGUUCCCGGGCCUCG